UACGAAGGGGGCUAGCGUUGUUCGGAAUUACUGGGCGUAAAGCGCGCGUAGGCGGUGAUCUUUGUCAGAGGUGAAAGCCUGGGGCUCAACCCCAGAAUUGCCUUUGAAACGGGAUCGCUAGAGUCCGAGAGAGGAUGGCGGAAUUCCUAGUGUAGAGGUGAAAUUCGUAGAUAUUAGGAAGAACACCGGUGGCGAAGGCGGCCAUCUGGCUCGGUACUGACGCUCAGGCGCGAAAGCGUGGGGAGCAAACAGGAUUAGAUACCCUGGUAGUCCACGCUGUAAACGAUGAGUGCUAGUUGUUGGGAAGUUUACUUCUCAGUGACGCAGCUAACGCGUUAAGCACUCCGCCUGGGGAGUACGGUCGCAAGAUUAAA
rnacentral:rRNA from 1 species